rnacentral:rRNA from 1 species
UACGUAGGGUGCAAGCGUUAAUCGGAAUUACUGGGCGUAAAGCGUGCGCAGGCGGUUCGCUAAGACCGAUGUGAAAUCCCCGGGCUUAACCUGGGAACUGCAUUGGUGACUGGCGGGCUAGAGUAUGGCAGAGGGGGGUAGAAUUCCACGUGUAGCAGUGAAAUGCGUAGAGAUGUGGAGGAAUACCGAUGGCGAAGGCAGCCCCCUGGGCCAAUACUGACGCUCAUGCACGAGAGCGUGGGGAGCAAACAGG